AUGUUAAACCAGAAAUUAAUUUCCCAUUAAAAAUAAAAUUUGUUCCAAGAGCUUCCACAUGCUGGUAUAUGAAGCAUAUUUCAGCACUGUAUACAGGUACACAUACAUAAUGAUUAAGUUGAUUUUUUUUUCAGGAUUAUUUGAAUCGGGUUUGAAUUUAUAAUUAAUGAACCGUUUGUGUUAUAGGGGAACCCCCCGCCCCCUGAAAUCUUAAGAUAUGCGUCCAUAUAAAAAAUGACUUAUGACGAAACAAGCAUUUAAGAAGCUCGAAGUAGAGACUAACGAGCCAUCGGACUGAGAUUUGUUACGUGGGAGAAGUUGGUGGUGGUACUUUAAGGAUUAAUAUGUGGUGAUCAUGAUCACCUGCCCACAAUAGUGAGUCAGCGCCUGUACAGUGAUUCGUUUCAUUUAAGCUCCGUCUGAUUAAAUGCAUCGCCUUCUGUUGCGGUAUUGUCGUGAGGAUGGUUGAUUACCGAUGCCCUAAAAGAUCCCUGAGCAUAUGCAAAAUAUUUGGCUGAUUUAGCACUUCCUACCUGCAUACAAACUUUGCGUCCUUACCUCCGGAGUGCAAUGCUGUUGGAGCUGGCUGUGCAGCACACGCCCUCAUCCGUAUUCUGUUCAUAUGCAAACACACUAGCAUGUCUUUUAAUGAAGUGACUCGACUGUUUUCAUGCAGCAUUCAACUGCGCGGAUACUCUGUGUACCGUAGAUGGCGCCCUUUAAAACCUUAUGCAGCUACUCAGUUGAAUGUUUUUGGGCUAAAAAACUGGCUGUAGAGACGUAACUAGGCAACUUUUAAUUUGUGGGGGGAAAAAAAAUACUCAAUGAUUGUGUCACGGGACAAUGAAGAAUCAAGUUUAAAAAACAAUGAAUUGUUGUGACACACUAACUUAAAUAUGAUGGCCUCUUAAUUAGCCCCUCGUGGCUGAGGCCAGAGGGCAGCCAAUUUACAUUGUCGCUGAUACUGACAACUUCUGUUCGGCUUUCAAUGAAAACACUGUUAGCAGUACGUGUUUUGUGCUAGGAUGACUGUAUGGAGUAAUGAGGUCCUCUCAAGGACCAAAUGUCACUGUUUUCUUCGACUCUUCAGAGUACCGUAUUUUCCGCACUAUAAGGCGCUUCGGAAGAUGGACCCUAUAAGUUUUCAUAUAUAGGAUGCACCGCAUUAUAAGUAGCGUAGAAUAGAAGCUACAAUAGUGGCUGAGGUUGCAUUAUGCGUCCACUAGGGGAAUACUGCUCAGGGGAAUACUGUACAAUACGAUACCGUUUUAUUUACAGGUGUAUUGGGCUUUCACAACCGCUGCAGCUGUAACAACGAACUUUACAGAACAUUUAAAAUACUAUGUCCAACAAAGCUGAAUAUUGAUCCAUAUAUAAGGCAAUCGGAUUGAAAGGCACUAUGUCAAGAAAAUUGAAUGCUUUUUAGGUGCGCCUUACAGUGCAGAAAAUACUAUAAAUCAGGGUAAAAUGUAAAGUCAACACUGUUACUCAAACCAACUUUGCAGAUUCACUGCAAUGUGUCAAUCUCCUCCCCAAACACUUUCUCUCGCCCGCGUGAAGCGCAUGUUGGACUUUUGAUGGUGUGUAGGUCGGAUACAUACGACCUGGCCAUUGGAAACGUAUCCGAUCUAGGACCCCAUAUGAAGGUCGGAUUUGAAAAAAAAAAUGGAAUUGAGACAUUCAUAAUGUCACAAAGGAAUCAAAAAUAGGUCACAUAUAUGGGGCAAAAUAUCCAACUUGGGUUACAUUUUGCCGCACAAUAGUGCCAGCCGAAAACAAUAAGCUUGAAAAUUCUAAAUUUGUCCGAAUAAUCCGGGGGAACAAAUAUAUAUACUGUAUAUAUACAGUAUCUCUAUAUAUGGUGUAUUUUUCUGCUCAUUUUGCAUUUGUCGUCCUCAUUCAGUUCACAACAUAUGAUUGAUAUGGUAACACAUUGUUUUGACAAUGUAAAAGCCAAAGAUGGCGAGCUAAUUUCAGGGGGAAAAAAUAUAUUUUUUUACAGUUUACUUGAGUACAUUUCAGACUGUACAAAGAACAUAAUGGGUUAAUUGCGGUACAUUAAAUGUACGUGUAUGUGCUGUGGUGGAAGGUGGAGGAAGGGCUUCGGAUGGUGGCAGUUGGAAAACACACCUGUUUUCUUUUUUUUUUCUUUUUUUUUUUAGGGCGCUAUACAGACAUUUGAAUUCCAAUCCACCUCUGCUGCCAGUCUGCAUGUUUAGAGGCCCCUGCCACUGCCACCCCCCCUCAUCUCUAUUUGACACAAGCUGUGUUUGCUUCACUUUUUGUGUAUCUGCUUCCACGCAUUCAUUAGAGCCCCUUUUCCAUCUCGAAUGAUCUGCUCCUGCCUUUUGUUUUAAUCGCACGCAAGCUUAGCCAGAAUAGCCCUUGCUGUAAUGUGCCUCUACGUCUCCAUUCCAUGAAAAGAAACGCAAAACAACAAAAAUGAGCUCUCCUGAUGAUGUGAAUAAUUCAUCCUCGGCUCCGUAAAUGGAACGUGUACGGCCGCGAUUCUGUUGCUGCGUGCCAAAUGAAAAGUGUACGUGUGCAUUUGUUGAACGAUAAUGUCGGCCAAAAAUACAGUCAGAUAAAAAGGAUUGAUGUGCUAGUUUCAAAGAGAAAGCUCCAGAAUGUUUGUGUGCGCGCGCGUGCGUGUGUGCUGGCACCUGUACGCGUGUGCAUACGUGCAUUAGCUUGACGACCGAGCGCGUUCAUUUCUCUGCGAAACAGAAACGCAUGAGGCUAAUAGGCUCGCUAUUUCAGUCUUCUUCUUAAACGUGGAACGGAACGAGAUGGAAAUGAGGGAGCACUCACAUGAUCCCUCUUACUGACUCCACACCUAACGACUGUCGCUCGUUGCAAAAAGAGACGCAUUAUCGUGAGCAGGAAAUAAGAUGCAACACAUCAAUCCAAUUAACACCUGCUAGUGAUGGGACUUUAAUGGAUGGAAACCAGACCGUCAAUUUGCAGUGCAAGCUAGAUGACGGUGUAUGUACCGGACAGUGGAGUGACCUUGUUUUGCUUUAUGUAUCCCCUUAUUCUCCCCCCCACCUCCCACCCCC